rnacentral:tRNA from 1 species
GGCUGGAUAGCUCAGUUGGCAGAGCAAGGGACUCAUAAGCCCUGGGUCGUCGGUUCGACUCCGACUCCAGCCA